rnacentral:rRNA from 1 species
GACGAACGCUGGCGGCGUGCCUAAUACAUGCAAGUCGAACGCAGUGGGGACGGGUGAGUAACACGUGGGUAACCUCCCAUCAGAGGGGAUAACACUUGGAAACAGGUGCUAAACCGAUACUGAUGGAUGGACCCGCGGUGCAUUAGCUAGUUGGGGGGGUAACGGCUCACCAAGGCCACGAUGCAUAGCUGACCUGAGAGGGUGAUCGGCCACACUGGGACUGAGACACGGCCCAGACUCCUACGGGAGGCAGCAGUAGGGAAGCUUGGGCAAUGGGCGAAAGCCUGACGGAGCAAUGCCGCGUGAGUGAAGAAGGUUUUCGGAUCGUAAAGCUCUGUUGGUAGAGAGGCGGUAUCUAAAGAGAAAGCAACGGCUAACUACGUGCCAGCAGCCGCGGUAAUAC